rnacentral:sRNA from 1 species
UAUUACUUAUAUUGAUUUAGGCAGAACAUAAAAGAAACAAUAACGACCACUAUAGUAGUGACAGUAGUAUAUAGAACUCAGUUAUAGACAAUUUUAUUUUAUAAACAAAUAUAAGAUUGUAAGACUAUUUAGUACAGAAAUUAUGAAAGAGAUUAUAACAUCACAUAUAUGUUAACAUCACAUAUAUAUGUUGACUUCAAGUUAGAAAAUGCAGAUCAUAUUUACAUAUAUGCAAAUAACAAUGUUCUAUUUUUUUAACAUUAUAUACACAUGAGAAAAUAAAGUGACUAUAUAUCUAUAAAAUGUUUUGACAACAAUGCAACAACAAUGUCAUUGUAUUAUAGAGUAUGUACAUCAUUAUUUAUUAUGGUAAUAUCAAGAGAGUAGGCGUUUAGCUGAUACUGAGUCAACAUGGAGGGGUCAGCCAUAAGGUCAACGCUGUGGUUAGGCAACAAUACUACAAUGGCCUUGGCUGUUAGCUGAAAGACAAAUGAGGCAUGACAAUAGAACAUCAGAAAGUUUGGGUCUGUGUGACUUUGUGAUGGAUAGCAGGCGUUGAUAACCUGGUGAUGAUUAGCUCAGAUGAUUGUAUUGUUACAAAGGUUUGAAUAUGUACAUAUUGGUAAGCUUAAUUAAAGUAGAUUUAGUAGAUUAGUAUACCGUUAUAGGUCAGAUAUAUUUGUAAGGAUAUCAAAUGACUGUGUGUGCGUGUGUGUGUGAAACAAUGUUUAAAAAUGUUUUAUUCAGAGGUCAAAGAACUCAGAACUUGACAUUUUAAUGUCAUCCAUCUUUUGGCAUGUGACUGGGUGUAAAAGUAGAAAGUUGUAGUUUUUGUUUUGUAACCAAUUGACUGAGUACAUCACUGGCCUGUGUUGUAGGUUAUGUAGGAACGUGUUGGCGUAGAUUCAGUUCUGUUUAAGCUAGAUGUCAGGGACAACUUUACUGUCUAAGAUAAACAAGGCUGGCAGGGAUAAAAACUAACGUCACGGCAGUACACUUCCGGCCCACAAAACUUAAGUAACACUAACUCUAAAAUAAACUAAAAUUUGCUUUCAAACAUCUGAACUUUUGGUCAAUAAACAUUAAAAUUCAAGUUUUACGAUAUUUUACACUCGUCUAGUUUCACGGAGUCGACCUCUUACAGCAAGGGCGACUCGAUCUCGAAAGACACACUUACAGGUAGAUCUAGACACCACUCGGAAGUAAACUAUUUACUUUUAACUUAUGCUUACUAAAUGGUCAUCUCAAGGAGUAGCAGUAGACUAAAGAAUAGAUUUUCACGGUCAAGUCAUCAUGAUUAAUAGGCUCCGGAAAUGAGACUUAUAUUCGACCCAAGAAGCGCGAACAAGACACUGGCCCCAUAACAGCCUUUGGAAGACAACCUGUAUAGGAACUGCUUCAUAUGUGAACCAACAAGCAGUCGAGAUAUAGGAGUGGUUGUCGGCGCUCUCCAACUUGUGGAGAGCAAAGAAGUAGAAAAAGCUUAGCUGUAUGAAUUCAAGAGUUUUUUUUUCAAAUAAUGGUGUACCAGUAGUUCUUGUACAUACCAUAAGAUCACACCACCGGAAAGAACGAGGUCUAUAAUGAUAGAGAAAAUCCAAUGAAGCCUUAAUGAGAUAGUUGGAAAAACUAUGAAGAAAGCCCAGGUUAGAACGUGGCACUAGAAGUCGUUUGAGAACCUCUCACAAGAAUGCGCUAUACUUGAGACGCCAUCUUUACAUACAGGUCUGUUGGAAAUCAUUUGUUUGCCAAGACAGAAGACUUGUGUUUUGUUGUCUGCCAAGACAGAAGACUUGUGUUUUGUUGUCUGCCAAGACAGAAGACUUGUGUUUUGUUGUCUGCCAAGACAGAAGACUUGUGUUUUGUUCUCUGUCUUAAUGGGACAAUUUACAUUUUCUUCGAUUACCAAAAUGAGUCCGUUACGUCAAACCCCGCUAAAGUACAUCGGCUGUUGGAUUGGCGAAGUUUUUUAACCUUGACCUUUACACGGGAGGGGGAUUUUUGUUUUUGUUUAUGGGGUAGCCCAAAGUGUGAAACGCGAUUACCGCUGAAAAGAAGUUUGGAUUUAAGGGGGGAGGGAGGUAGCUCUGUGCACUUGAAAAAUGCAUUAUCGUAAAUGUUAGAGUGAAAUGAAACAUGGGCGAGAUUCUAAUGAGAUGACGCUAAGACAAGACAGUGUGAAUCUCAAUGUUUACUUCCAGAAUGUAUUCAUUCACACCAAUUAGUAAGAAAUGCUCUUGCCUGCUUGGAUUGGGGAUGGGGCAACUGAAACAAAUCAAACAUUGGAUAUGUCAGACAUUGGGGGAAAAUAUGAUUACGUCCCCUGAACUCCAUACGUUUUAAAAGCUGCAUACUUUAGUCUCAAUGAUUCAAAGUCGACAUUUUGUUUGGUUUGUUUCACUUCUACAUGAAGCAACAGUUGCAAUAAAAACCUGGCCACAGUGUAAAUAAAGUUUUCCGUUUCAAGGGAGAUAAUUGAACUAUCGAAGAAUAAACCUAGUUUUGUUUUAUUUUGUGUGCAAAACAAUAACAUUCAGUGACACAUAAAAGAACUGAAAACAAUAAUAACUUCCUGUACUGUUAGAUAUUUACAUCAUUAUAUCCUUAAGGACAGUAAUUACGCGUUUUCCUAAGCCCAGCACAACAAGAGUAGAAACACCUAGAACGCCAUGAAUGAACUAUGACCCGCAUUUAUGUCAUAUUUUAUAAGCAGUUACAUGUCAAUGUCAGUAUCAUUAGGGGAAACAAUGUGAUUGGUGUGUAUAAAGUAUUUAUUAUGAAAUCCAACAAUUUUGUUUUCCACUGUUGUGUUAUAAUCAUUAUGUCUAAUACAUAGGUAGUACACUAUGUGUUCCAGUCUAGAGAUGACUAAUGGUUCUCGAAUUGUCUAUUUGGUUGUAAAAGCCUGCGGACUACCUCGAAAUCUGUGUUCACGCCACACCGCUGGUGGUCCGUAGACCACAGGUUGAGAAAUGUCACGUGAUAAAGAUGGGGAGACGCGAACGAAUGCUUGGGAUGACCCAAGGUCUCUGUCACAUUUUGACUUAUAUUGGUAAUUGUCAUCGGAGGUGAGUCUAUGACUCUUGGAGAAAUAAUGUGUGGGACAACGCAGCACCAGUGCAGAACAAAUACGGCAGGACUGUUGUUGGUAUUCAAUUGUGAGGCAGGGCUGUUGUUAGAAUUCAAUUGUGAGACAGGGCUGUUGUGCUAUAAAGUAGUGAGACUAAAGAAGGAAACGACUAUGUGCCCAAAGAGACUGACUAAUGACAACAGUUAACGGUAAAAGAAUUCUAAUCAAUAUAUAAACCAUGGUAUGAAAAGAUUCGGGACUAGUGCAUGGUGUCCUGUAAUUUAGAAAAAAUAUAAUUAGAAAAACAAAAACCUUCACAAAUGAGCUGCAGUGUCAAAUAAAGUUUAAAAGACUUUGAACAGAAUGCGAUAGCGGAAGACAAAGUCUACAAUAAGCGCAAGGUAUUGUAGAAAUAUUUGGCGACUUUGUAACGUUAUGGCUGAGACUCUGAAGUAACGCUUGCGUCAGCGAUUUUCUCUAUUGAAUGUCCACCACCUCCAGCAUACCCCUCGAAGACAACAUUAAGGGCAGGAAACUUAAGUGUACUUCACACGUGAAGAGGACAUGGUCACUUAUUAGAAAUAGGCUUAUUGUUUACUUUGUGUGCUGGUCAAGAGGUCACUUCAUGGCACUAUAACGGAAGCGAUUACGACACAUACUUCUGUGAACGAAUUCCUACUUGACUUAGUCCGUCUGUCACAAUGCUAACAUUAUCUGCCUGUACCCCCCUCCCCUCUUAAACAUCGUUAUGUCAUUGAUAGUGUUUUUGAAAGUCACAUCAUAAAGUUUGGUGUCAGCGGAAAUCUCCUCCUUAAUUUAUUGUAGUAGUUGUCAUCUGUUGAUAAUGCUAUACUGUUGUCAUCUAUUGGUAGUGCUAUACUGUUGUCAUCAAUUGAUAGUGCUAUACUGUUGUCAUUUGUUGUUAUCAAAGGUGUUAUCACUUUACUAACUGCAACGUCGUCACGUGAUUUACCAACUCAUUUUACCAUUUCGAAAGUCGCAGUACGACUGGAUAUUUAUCUUCCCACAAGAAGGAAUGCAAUAGAUUCUUAGUCACAGACAUCUCUGCCAGUAUCUACCGUCUUUAGAGUGUCACAGUCUGUCAUAGCUACACAGUCAAUAGAAAGUACUACAUCGGAAAUGGAUGGGUGUGUCCUGCCAACUAAAAUGAGUGGCUAACAUGAAAAAUGAUCUCCCUCUUAAACCUAAUGACCUUCAGGACGUACUACUUUCUUGUUACCUUCAGGACGUACUACUUUCUUGUUAUAUUGCUCUUUUUCCAUAGCUUCUCCGACUUAAUCUACGAUAUGGAAAGACUACAAGCUUUAUUCAAAUUAUAAUUGACUUAACUAAUAGGAAUACGUACAUAAGUGUGUGCUAUCAGUAAUUAUUUAUAAUUUUCACGACGGUUGAAUGUCAAGAUUGUAUUUCCGUAAGCUAAAAUAAGCAUUAUGUCUACUCAUUUUUAAGGGGGUGAUUAUAUGAUAGUGGAUAAAUAGUAGAUCUUCUUGAGACUUGUUCCACUUAGGUAAUUUAGCUGGCUAGAAACAUAAACAUUAGGCUCGGUGAAUCCAAUCCAAAAGUUAUAAAACAUUUCGUAAAUACACUUAGAUCUAAAGACAGUUUUGACAAUACAAUCUAGAAAGUCUAGCUAUUCUUAUAUUUCGCUUUAUGCUGACUUAAGAGUUACUGUCCUUGUUGUAUGAUAGGAACCAACUAGCAGUAUCCUUGUGAAAAACUUGAGAACUAUUGACUUAAACUUUAGAUAGGAAAAUAUAUAUGUGUGUGUGUCAUUGUGUUGGUUUUGUUUAUAAAUUAUAGACUUUCAAAUAUCAAAGUAUACAGCUUACACGUCCACAUGUUGUCCCAUCCAUUAACAACGCCUUUGUACUCAAAUGUACUCAGCUGAGUGUGAAACAUGCUUUCUACAUUUAAAAAAAUGUCAUUAGUUGAGUUCAAAGGGAAUGCCACACAUAUUGCCAUUGCCUUGGCAAGUGACAAGAGAAACAUGUAACAUCAUGACAAAGUGAUGCGUCACAAACGUUUCAGACACACACCUACCACAAACACACCACCAGUCACAUUGAUCCCUCCCCCCCCCACGGUACUAUCUCAAGAUGGCGUGAACAUACAAAUAUUCUGAGUACAUCGUAGGAUGCGGCGUGUCUUCCCCCCCCAUUACCUUUCUUUACGUGCCCUAGAACGGUGAGAUGUCCACUAGAUCUGUCAGGUCUAUUGAGAAGUCUAGGUCUGUUUUGGACUUCACACAUUUCACUUUGAAUUCUGCUGCCCCUCCCUCUCCACAAACAUUAACAUAUCAGACUACUGCUGCAUGUCAUACGAAGUACAGAGAAGUCUUUAGUAAGUAACAGGUGUAUCAAGGAAGUAACGGUAAGCUACAGAGAAGUCUUUAGUAAGUAACAGGUGUAUCAAUGAAGUAACGGUAAGCUACAGACUUAGUAAGUAACAGGUGUAUCAGGAAGUAACGGUAAGCUACAGACUUAGUAAGUAACAGGUGUAUCAAGGAAGUAACGGUAAGCUACAGACUUAGUAAGUAACAGGUGUAUCAGGGAAGUAACGAUAAGCGUUGAUUACAACUUAUUGAUGCAAUAAGAGGGUGGGACUAUUGGGACCCCGCCCUAGUACGACCAACAACACUUUAUUAUCUACUCCUAGAUUGUACACCUUAGAAAAAAAAGUCAUUGGAAAAGGACACACAUAUAAGCAUCCACUCUAAGCUACCUGUACACCAAUCCUUUCAAAACACAAUCCAUACCAGGUGCAGAUGUAAGUUAGUAGGUAAACGUCAAGUAUGUCAGGUCGGUGCGCCUUCCCUCUCCCUUGUGUAAUGGGCACACACACACACGUCAGACAGACAGACUUUAAAGUCUUUAAUUAGUUUGAACAUGAGCUGCAUGCUUUGCACUUUUCAGAGUUCAAGUGAUUUCUUGUUUUCAACAGCUAACAGCGUCAAGUGGCUUGAGGCCAAUCCAAUAGUGGUCAAGUCAAGAGGUGGCGCGGGCGACUGUCUCGCUCCUUAUCUUGACCGUGGAACUAAGGUGUAACGUACGCUGAUCUAAAGAUAGUUUAAAAACAGUUUGAAUUAUGCCAAGGGUUUCUAGCGACAUUUUGUAUACGGCCCCUAAUUCCUGCUGGUUUAUGUGUGGAGUCCUCAACGUAUGCUCAAGGCACUCAUGAAUUAAAGUGUUUCAAAUGUAAAGAACGUUUUGGCUUCUGAGUGAAGUUGUCCAAGUAUUGGAUUGUGUGUGGAGAGUGUAGUCAAGUGUGCCUACUGAUGCUAGUUGGAGACUGUAGUCAAGUGUGCCUACUGAUGCUAGUUGGAGACUGUAGUCAAGUGUGCCUACUGAUGCUAGUUGGAGACUGUAGUCAAGUGUGCCUACUGAUGCUAGUUGGAGACUGUAGUCAAGUGUGCCUACUGGUGCUAGUUGGAGACUGUAGUCAAGUGUGCCUACUGGUGCUAGUUGGAGACUCUAGUCAAGUCUGCCUAAUCCUACAUCUUCAGUCUCAUUAUUAUUUUCUCGAUCGCAAUUAACUAAGCCUUUAGCAGAAAGAUGACAGAUAUAUGAAUGCCUGGCCAGAAGAACUCUGCCUGCAUAUCUUUAAAACUUCAUUUUCUACACAUCUCUGCUUAACUGAAGAAAAUCGUCACAUGAUCUUACGCUGGAUGGAGGUGACUAUUGAUUUGACUACCAGAACAGUGACCAUUUUUAACAGCUCUAAUGUUACUUAAGACGUUACUUCCUCCAAGAAUAAGCGUCCUAUCUAAAUGACUUACAAUAACAAAAACAUGUUGAAAGGACUAGUUGAUAGGUUGUUAGGCUAUUGGCUAACUUUAAUGGGGUAAUUUCCCUGUGUAACUAGGCCUAAGAACAGUAAAUAGUGUACUUCGCAAUAAGUACUCAGUAAAAUGAUUAAUGACAUCUUUCAUUUAUUUCCUAGCAGCUGUUAAGAGUAUCAGGAAACAGUCAAUGGGGAAUACCAAGAUCGAUGAAGACCUGGAAUUCCCAGAGGCUGUGGGCACGGUGACGACCCCUGUUGCCUCUUCCCUCUCGCUAUCCCAAAAUACAAAUCUAUUAGUCAUCCGGGCACCCACACAAACUCAUUAACACUCAUUCGAACAGUGGUGAAAUAAACAGAUUUAUUUUCCCGAAAAAAAAACAACUAUUCAGGCUUCACAUGUGUUGUCAGAGUUUAAAAUGUCAAUUAUUAGAAUUGAAUUCGACUGUAGUCAACGUGUCCUGAUCAGCUCCGAAACAACUUGGUCAUUAAAUACAACGUUAAAAAAAAAAAUGGUUGUCUUUUUUUUUGUUGUUGUCCUUCGCUUAGGUUCAACCAAGACGUCACGACUGUAGGGCAGUCAUGUAAACUUAGUAGACUAGCCAAGUGUGUCGUUAAUUAGAUCAUCGUGUGUCUGUGUGUGUGUGUUUAAUAACGAAAACAAGAGUGCAAUGGGAGAUAAACUAGUAGAUGUUUAUUGAUAACUUUGCACUUUUGGAUUCUUUCCCCUGUUUCCGGGUUAUAAAACAACAACAUUUUAAAAGCUCGACCUGAAUUCUGUUUAUCGACUUAUAAACAAAUUGAUAGAGGCAAGGUGAUAGAUACAGAGAGUACAUGUGUUUAUAUAUAUUUUGCAUGUGUGUGUGCCUCAGAUAGAGGUAUAAAGAGAAAGUACCGCUGUUCAGUACUCGCCAUCACAAAAUAACUUCGCUCGAACUAACACGUUUUCUGGAAUAUUUCAAUGACUUUGAUUCGGCGAUGAGCAGCAUGCUUUAACGCUUACAAGGGAGAGAUCUCUCAGAGGAGGAUGUAGAGACGGCGGAGUGGUAUUAGGAGAUAUCAGACGACUUAAGUAGGGCAAGUUUGGUUCAGAGACACAAGCAGAAGUCUCCUGACAUACUAUUGACCACCAAUCGUGGUAUUUAUUAAAGCCCACCCCAAGCAGUGUUUUAUUACUUGAUUUUGUAAACCCAACCCUCCGCGUUCUACACAUUAUGAUGGAGUCCAAAAACAUCAGCACUUUUUGGCAUGCACAUCAAGAUGUUAAACUGUGCCGAUGUUUAGUUGGACUGGACUAUUUGAAAUGUUUAUCCCAAGUCUGUGCGUGAGUGUUUGGGUGCACGUGUUGUAAUCUUUUAUCUGGCUCGAGGUCUAUCAACAGUUUUUUUUUAAAUCAUAUCUAGUGUGUUUCAUAUUCUAGAGGCAUGGGUUGAACAAGGAGUCCUAUACUCAGCUUGGUUGUCUUAGGGUUGUUACUUGUUUAAAUUAUAGCCAACCACUGACUGGCAAGUCAGCUUUGUAAACUCAUGUUGUUUGUGUUACCUACAAAAUAAAAUUAGUUUUUAAAUGUCCAAGCGAAAACAAAAAUUCCGCUGACGUUGUUUUCGUAGAUGAGUUAUACCUGCUGUUAACGGCACCCCCUCGCUCAGUGAUAGACAAGUUCUUCUCAGCAACACAAACACAAUUGAACGCAGCGCUUUUGUCUUGUCACUGACCUCCUUCAUAUCUCUUUGACCUUUCCUACUGGCCAGUGUCUAAGAAAGUUUGUGUAAAUAUCAGGAGUUGGCUUGCAAAGAGAGUAGGAAUGACUCUCACGUACUUAGGUAGGUAGGGAGGGGGUGUACUCAAUAGCUUCAACCUUUCACCACUUUUAAUGAAUGUAUUUACUUUCACUUUCACACGCCCAGAAGUUCAACUCGAUACGUCGACUGUGACCUACUUUAAGUACCUGAGCCUUUGAAAGAAAAAAAGAGAGAGAGAGAGAGAAAGAUGCACGGCGUUGACCUUCACCUGAAUCCAAUUCGUGUCAUAGCUAUUAGGAGUUGGUGAAAGUGGUGGUUAUUAGAGGUGGAGGAGUUCCAUCAGCGGAGGAGUUCCAUCAGACAUCGCCCUUCAGUCCUCACGAGUAAAAUACUAUACGUUCAUUGCUAACAAACGACACGCACUAGUACGACUAGAAGGAAGUUGCGGACAGAGAUUAGAAAUCUUGGACUGUUAUAAAUCCGGGAAUAGUACCAUGGGCACAGAUUGGUGUAGGGUUCAAUCUAUAGACAAAAAAAAAAAAGGGUGUGAGUGCCAAAGAAGUUAGGUGUUUUUGGAAAGAUCUCUCACCAGGAAAUCUGUUCUAUCAGACUUCAUAAGAUGUUCAAAUUAUCAAACACGCGUAACUCAAUUAUUUAACAAUGCAAUGGGCGCAAUAUGUUGCCAUCAGAAUAAACUACAGGUGGUGGCCCUUCUAUAAUCCAACACAGGUGUUGCCCUUUUUUAAUUGCCACAGCGCAAUCCCAAACUACACACAAGCCAAGCCCAAACUACACACAAGCCCAAGUGGAAAACAAACAAAAACGAAACCUGGAUGGGGGCGGCACCAAAUGAAUGUCAAAUAAAAUAUACGCUUAAAUAGAUAUCCAUUUGGGAGAUCUAUAAGGAGAUUGUACUAGUUUCGAACACAUUCAGUCAGCAAUUGAGGUAGAGGAGAACAAAGGUUCAGUAGUCAAAAAUAAGUUUCGAACACAUUUUUUGUUUUCCAAGAAAGAAAAGGCAACAUUGGCCAGAGGUAAACAACUUGACUGGUGCUAUAUAGGUUGGCCAGAGGUACAAACUUGACUGGUGCUAUAUAGGUUGGCCAGAGGUACAAACGUGACUGGUGCUAUAUAGGUUGGCCAGAGGUACAAACGUGACUGGUGCUGAUCACCGAAAAUCCCCCCCCCCAUUAGCUUUGGUCUCAAUUAUUCAUGACUAUACAGCUUUCGUAUACUCCUGUCUUUUGUUUUUUCUAUUUAAUGCAUUCAAUCACCCAUACAUCCAACCUUGUGUGUGCAAUGCUAUCAAGUUAGUAACAUUCUACUUUGAAAUAUACUGACAUUAUAUUGCAAACAUAGUGUAAGUCCUCUACCCCACUCGACUAAUGAACUUAUUGGGAUGGGAUUGAAAGUUGGCUCGAGUCUACACUUCAAGGAUUUAUAUAGACCAAUUAUUUUCAAUGUUUUGUUUCAAAGUGUAAGAUGUUGAAUUAUGCACAGAUGGUAUAAUUGGACGUGUAAGGUGGUAAACUAUAUCGCGAAUGUUAGCUUUGUUUUAGUUACAAAAAUAAACAUAAUUUUUGUUCAAAGAUGGAUACUGAUGUUUAGAAUUUAGGACCUUUAUAUACAUAUAAACAAAGUAGCGUGCAUGCUAAUGUCACGGUGUAUGAUGACAACAGUGUGGAUGAUAAUGUCAAGUCAUAAUGCAGUGUUGAAUGAUUUGCACUGAGAAAAAGAGAUGCUAGCCAAAUGAAGUUUCAGAAUGAUGCCGAGACUAAAAAAGUAAAACUAUGAACAAUUUGUAGCUAAAUAUAACACAGUCAUCAUUAUCAUCAGCUGCAAUAUCAAAACAUUCUAACAAUGAUAUGUCGUCAACAUAACAUGAACACAUAGAACAAUGAAUCAAGUGAAUACAGACAAUUGAAGUGGACUGUGAACGCUUACGUUUGUAUAUCUGUUAGCCCUUGGUCACUUCAGAGUUUUGCUGGGGACACAAGGCGUUACAGUAACAAGUUAAAAUAUAUCACCUUUCCUAUAAGGCAAGUCAACACAGCUAGUGCAAAUAGACUUUUCCAAUUUAGACAAAAUCAUUCCUUAAAUGUCAUCACAAAGCUCAAUACAAGCCCAUCACUUGAAGAAAAACAUCAUUAGAGAACAAUGACUCCAAUCAACUCACAUCAUAGUCUCUAUAUCCAUGUGAAAAAAAAAA